UACGUAGGGUGCGAGCGUUAAUCGGAAUUACUGGGCGUAAAGCGUGCGCAGGCGGUUCGUUGUGUCGGCGGUGAAAGCCCCGGGCUCAACCUGGGAAUGGCCGUUGAAACUGGCGAACUGGAGUGUGGCAGAGGGGGGUGGAAUUCCGCGUGUAGCAGUGAAAUGCGUAGAUAUCCGGAGGAACACCGGUGGCGAAGGCGGGCUUCCUGGACC
rnacentral:rRNA from 1 species